GCAGCCGCGGUAAUACGUAGGUGGCAAGCGUUAUCCGGAAUUACUGGGUGUAAAGGGUGUGUAGGCGGACUGGCAAGUCAGAUGUGAAAACUAUGGGCUUAACCCAUAGCCUGCAUUUGAAACUGUUGGUCUUGAGAGUGGGAGAGGUAAAUAGAAUUCCCGGUGUAGCGGUGAAAUGCGUAGAUAUCGGGAGGAAUACCGGUGGCGAAGGCGAUUUACUGGCCCACAACUGACGCUGAGACACGAAAGCGUGGGGAGCAAACAGGAUUAGAUACCCC
rnacentral:rRNA from 1 species